UGGGGAAUAUUGGGCAAUGGGCGCAAGCCUGACCCAGCAACGCCGCGUGAAGGAAGAAGGCUUUCGGGUUGUAAACUUCUUUUAAGAGGGAAGAGCAGAAGACUGUACCUCUAGAAUAAGCCACGGCUAACUACGUGCCAGCAGCCGCGGUAAUACGUAGGGGGCAAGCGUUAUCCGGAUUUACUGGGUGUAAAGGGAGCGUAGACGGUUAUGCAAGUCUGAAGUGAAAUGCGGGGGCUUAACCCCUGAACUGCUUUGGAAACUGUAAAACUGGAGUGCAGGAGAGGUAAGUGGAAUUCCUAGUGUAGCGGUGAAAUGCGUAGAUAUUAGGAGGAACACCAGUGGCGAAGGCGGCUUACUGGACUGUAACUGACGUUGAGGCUCGAAAGCGUGGGGAGCAAACAGGAUUAGAUACCCUGGU
rnacentral:rRNA from 1 species